GGGCGCUCUCGCAAGCGACGCCCCCGGCAAAGCGGCGGGGUUUGGGCGCUGCCGGCCUUCCCCCGCAGUGCCCGGGCUGGCCCGGCGCCUGGCAAAACCUCUGAGGGAAAAGGCAAGCAACAGCUGCGCUUCUUCUGCCCUUUCUUUAGCCAGGGACUGGAACACAGACAAAAUCGAGGGGCUCUUUGACCUGUGCCGCAGGCUCCGAGCAUUUUUCAGCCUUCCUUAGCAGGGCAUUCUCACCCUUUGAAAAGCUGAAAGGCUUUAACAGCUGGAGACGCGCCUGCAGCUGUGCAGAUUAAUGUAGUUUCUUUUAGGAAACGAAGGGGAAGUUUUCCUGUUGUGAGCCUAAAUACCGAGUCUACUCUGCUUUUUCAAUCAGGUGACGAAGCUUAUGGAAAAAAAGACCAAAGGCCUCGAGGGAUGUUCUUCUUGCUCCCCCGGGGCAAACGGAGGUGUCAGCGUCAGGAGCCAUCCUAACUGAGGCCCCGGCUCCCUGUUUCCCUUUGGUCGCCGUGGGUGUGCCGGACGCCUCUGGCAGGACUAACCCUGUGGCUUUUAUGUCCAACGUGCUGUGCUGUGUGUGCCUGCAGGUGGUUGGUGUUUCUGCAGUGUUUGGCACAGGACUGGGGGAGAUUUUUAACCCAGCUUUCUAAAGCUGUAGAUGAAUAGGAGAGACUGAAUGCACUCCCUUUAUUCACCUGUUCAGAGAGUAUCGUCCAGAAUACGAGCGCCUGAGAAAAACACUGAAUUGCCACGAGAGGAAAUACUUCAGAGGGGCUUCCCUCCAGAUAAGCCCUGAAUGUGCCAGGAGGUUUGAGCCGGGAGGAAAGAAGCUGUGGAAGAAAAGCAGCCUAAAAAUAGCCAGUGGGGAUCAUCAGGUUUUCCAGCCAAGAAGAACAAGGAGAGAGAUGAGGGAAUUGGGUUCCAAUUCCUAAUGAUUUGGUGGGUGCAGGAAUGAUUUGUGUGUGUUUUCCGGUCCCUUUUGAUUCCUGAGAUGAUUUUAAAAUGAUGGCUUUAGCAAUCAACUAAAUCGGAGAUGUUGUUUUUGAGAGGAAAUGAUGCCAAAUAAAUGCAGAGUUUUGGGUCAGUUUUUGGGAUGAUUUGAGUCAGUUUUUGGGGUCAGUUUGGGGUCAUUGUUCGGGGUGAUUUGGGUCAGUUUUGGGUCAGCUUUUGGGGUGAUUGGGGUCAGUUUUGGGUCAGCUUUUGGGAUGAUUUGGGUCAGGUUUUGGGGUCAGUUUUGGGUCAGCUUUUGGGGUGAUUUGGGUCGGUUUGGGGUCAAUUUUUGGGGAGCACUGGGUGUUACUGGAGGUUGUUGGGGAGCACUGGGUGUUUACUGGGGAGCACUGGGUGUUACUGGGGGUUGUUGAGGAGCACUGGGUGUUACUGGGGUGCACUGGGGAGCACUGGGUGUUACUGAGGGUUGUUGGGGAGCACUGGGUGUUACUGGGGAGCACUGGGAGAGCAAAUGAAAAAUAAAGGGAAUAAAAAACAACCGAAAUAAAAAAGGAAAUAUAAAAUAGAAAAGAAAAUUAAAAAAAAAAAAAGGGGGCAAAAAAACUAAAAAGGAAAUAAAAUGAAAAUGAAAUAAAAGAGAGAGAAAAAAAAAAAAAAAAAAAAGAAGAAACGCCUUCUUGGGCACCCCGUUUCCUCUCCUCCCCCCCCCGAACCGUAAAUUGCGGGGUCAUCACCCCAAAAAUGUGAGAAGGGGACCCGAAAAUGUGGGUGGGGGAACCCCAGGGAGCCGAAAAAGUGGAGGGGGAGCCGCAGUAAGAAAGCGAAGCCGGGCGGUCGGGCGGCGGGGUGGGGGGGGAAGCCGAGGUGGCGACGCCGGCGCGUGCGCAGUCGUUGGCAAGACGCCGGCGAUCACGUGGUAAGUAAGGGCAGGCAGGAGCGGGACCGGCGGCGCAUGCGCAGUGGCUCUCGUGCCGGUGCAGCGCUCCCUGCUCGAGUUAAGGGCCGGUUCCGGCGGCAGGGCGGGACUGGCGGUCUCCCGUCUCUCCCGGGGUGUGUGGGGGGGGGAAUAACAUGAAGAUUUUUUUGGGGGUGAAAGCGCAGAAAUUAGCGAGGAGGGACGCUAAUUUGGGUAAGCUCGGUCACCGGAAGUAGAGAGCGACCGGAAGUCCUCCAAAGCCCCGGCGCGGAAGUCCGCCAAGCCCACAGUAAAGAUGGCGCCGCCAGGACCGAAAGGACCACACUAAAGAUGGCGCCCCUGCCCGGAAGUCCGCCAAGCCCACAGUAAAGAUGGCGCCGCCAGGACCGGAACGACCACACUAAAGAUGGCGGCGCGGCGCUCCGCCCUCCCGCCUCGUUCCGCUCCGCUCCCCUCCCGCCCCCGCUCCCCAACCCCGCUCCCCUCCGCUCCCGCUCCCGCCGUGGCCUGGAGAUGCUGUCGGAGCUGCGCCGCCGCCUUCCCCCCCCCCCAGGAAGCGACCCACGGCGCCAGAUCCGACGGACAUCGUCCCCGGGGUGACGAAGCUUAUGGAAAAAAAGACCAAAGGCCUCGAGGGAUGUUCUUCUUGCUCCCCCGGGGCAAACGGAGGUGUCAGCGUCAGGAGCCAUCCUAACUGAGGCCCCGGCUCCCUGUUUCCCUUUGGUCGCCGUGGGUGUGCCGGACGCCUCUGGCAGGACUAACCCUGUGGCUUUUAUGUCCAACGUGCUGUGCUGUGUGUGCCUGCAGGUGGUUGGUGUUUCUGCAGUGUUUGGCACAGGACUGGGGGAGAUUUUUACCCAGCUUUCUAAAGCUGUAGAUGAAUAGGAGAGGUAAGGGGAUAACUUCUGGUCCGCGACCCAGUGACCACUUCCUGAAGGUCCUGAUUCAUGAGUCUGCUCCUUUGAUUUGAAGGAGUGUACAGUUGCCAUAGCCAAGGUAGCUUAGGGUGUCCAGUAUCAGCAUAAAAAGCAGCAGUAAAAAGGAACUAUUCAGAGAUGAAUUUUGUGCUGUUCCGUGAAAAAGUAAAAGCUAUCUGUGCCAGCAAGUCUGUGAAGUAAUUUUUUUCUUGUAGUUCCAUACCAAGUUUUGAAUUGUUGC